AACGAACGCUGGCGGCGUGCCUAACACAUGCAAGUCGAACGUGAUUGGAAGCUUGCUUCCAUGAAAGUGGCGCACGGGUGAGUAACGCGUAGAUAAUCUACCUGAUGAUUCGGGAUAACACUUCGAAAGGGGUGCUAAUACCGGAUAAGCCCACGGAGUCCUUGGACACUGCGGGAAAAGGGGGGGAUCGCAAGACCUUCCGUCAUCAGAUGAGUCUGCGUACCAUUAGCUAGUUGGUGGGGUAAAGGCCUACCAAGGCGACGAUGGUUAGCUGGUCUGAGAGGAUGAUCAGCCACACUGGAACUGAGACACGGUCCAGACUCCUACGGGAGGCAGCAGUGGGGAAUUUUGCGCAAUGGGGGAAACCCUGACGCAGCAACGCCGCGUGAGUGAUGAAGGCCCUUGGGUCGUAAAGCUCUGACAGAGGGAAAGGAAUGCAUGGUGGCUAAUAUCCAUUGUGCUUGGCGGUACCCUCAAAGGAAGCACCGGCUAACUCCGUGCCAGCCGCCGCGGUAAUAC
rnacentral:rRNA from 1 species